rnacentral:rRNA from 1 species
GACGAACGCUGGCGGCGUGCUUAACACAUGCAAGUCGAACGCUGAAGCUCAGCUUUUGUUGGGUGGAUGAGUGGCGAACGGGUGAGUAACACGUGAGUAACCUGCCUCCUUCUUUGGGAUAACGCCCGGAAACGGGUGCUAAUACUGGAUAUUCACUGGUCUUCGCAUGGGGGUUGGUGGAAAGGGUUUUUCUGGUGGGGGAUGGGCUCGCGGCCUAUCAGCUUGUUGGUGGGGUGAUGGCCUACCAAGGCUUUGACGGGUAGCCGGCCGGAGAGGGUGACCGGUCACAUUGGGACUGAGAUACGGCCCAGACUCCUACGGGAGGCAGCAGUGGGGAAUAUUGCACAAUGGGCGCAAGCCUGAUGCAGCGACGCCGCGUGAGGGAUGGAGGCCUUCGGGUUGUGAACCUCUUUCGCUCAUGGUCAAGCCGCAACAAUGGUUGUGGUGAGGGUAGUGGGUAAAGAAGCGCCGGCUAACUACGUG